CAGGAUCUCGGGCGGCAGCGACGCGGUGGCGAGAGUCGCAUUGGCGGCGGCGGCAGCGGCGGCAGCAUUAUGCGUGAUUACUGACAGGCACCAGCUGCCUCCGCCACAGCCGCUCCAACGCACUAUGUGGACUCUCGGAUCUCCAGGCAGAUUCCUGACUAAUCCCAGAGGGCUGGCCCAGCCCCUGCUCCCAGGGCUGCGAGGAAGCGAUGACCACUCUUGUUAGCCCAAGUUGAAGGGAGCCCGGCUGCGCCUGGGAGCCGGGAAGAGGCCGUGAGAUUGAGCAGCCGCAAGCAGCACAGGAUUAUGAACUGAAGAGCAAACAUGUAUGGGAAUUAUUCUCACUUCAUGAAGUUUCCCACAGGCUUUGGCGGAUCCCCUGGUCACACUGGCUCCGUGUCCAUGAGCCCAUCAGCAGCUCUCUCCACAGGGAAGCCCAUGGACAGCCACCCCAGCUACACGGACACCCCAGUGAGCACUCCACGGACUCUGAGUGCAGUGGGGACCCCCCUCAAUGCCCUGGGUUCUCCAUACCGAGUCAUCACUUCUGCCAUGGGCCCACCCUCGGGAGCGCUGGCAGCCCCUCCAGGAAUCAAUUUGGUCGCCCCACCCAGCUCUCAGCUAAAUGUGGUCAACAGCAUCAGCAGUUCAGAGGACAUCAAACCCUUACCAGGGCUUCCUGGGAUUGGAAACAUGAACUACCCGUCCACCAGUCCUGGAUCUCUGGUUAAACACAUCUGUGCCAUUUGUGGCGACAGAUCCUCAGGAAAGCACUAUGGAGUGUACAGCUGUGAAGGCUGCAAAGGCUUCUUCAAGAGAACCAUAAGGAAAGACCUCAUCUACACGUGCCGGGAUAAUAAAGACUGCCUCAUUGACAAGCGUCAGCGCAACCGCUGCCAGUACUGUCGCUAUCAGAAGUGCCUUGUCAUGGGCAUGAAGAGGGAAGCUGUGCAAGAAGAAAGGCAGAGGAGCCGGGAGCGAGCUGAGAGUGAGGCGGAAUGUGCCAGCAGUGGCCAUGAAGACAUGCCCGUGGAGAGGAUUCUGGAAGCUGAACUCGCUGUUGAACCAAAGACUGAAUCCUAUGGUGACAUGAACAUGGAAAAUUCGACAAACGACCCUGUCACCAACAUAUGCCACGCUGCCGAUAAGCAGCUCUUCACCCUCGUUGAGUGGGCCAAGCGUAUUCCCCACUUCUCUGACCUCACCUUAGAGGAUCAGGUCAUUUUGCUCCGGGCAGGCUGGAAUGAAUUGCUGAUCGCCUCUUUCUCCCACCGCUCGGUUUCUGUGCAGGAUGGCAUCCUUCUGGCCACAGGUCUACACGUCCACCGGAGCAGUGCCCACAGUGCUGGGGUUGGCUCCAUCUUUGACAGAGUUCUAACUGAGCUGGUUUCCAAAAUGAAAGACAUGCAGAUGGAUAAGUCGGAGCUGGGGUGCCUGCGAGCCAUUGUGCUGUUUAACCCAGAUGCCAAGGGUCUGUCCAACCCCUCUGAGGUGGAGACUCUGCGAGAGAAAGUUUAUGCCACGCUGGAGGCCUAUACCAAGCAGAAGUAUCCGGAACAACCAGGCAGGUUUGCCAAGCUGCUGCUGCGCCUCCCAGCCCUGCGCUCCAUUGGCUUGAAGUGCCUGGAGCACCUCUUCUUCUUCAAGCUCAUCGGGGACACCCCCAUCGACACCUUUCUGAUGGAGAUGCUGGAGACUCCCCUGCAGAUCACCUGAGCCCCACCAGUCACAGCCUGCCCACCCAGUAUCACUCCUCCUCCCGGCCUGACCCCCUUCCUGUUCCCCAAAUGUGAUGCUUAUAAUAAAGAAAACCUUUCUACGCAUGAGAAUUUUAUAGGUGGAGUUUUGUAUGGAUGUUAAAGGUAACCCUUCUUUGCUGUUUAAGGGGCUGGGGGUGGGGGUCUUUAUGGAAGUUCUCGGAAAAGCUCACCAAGCAUCUGUACAUAGCAUUGGUUUAAAUUAUUUUUUCACUUGCCAUGGAAAGCAAACAAAGAAACAAUAAAUAUGAUAUUGGCACUGCGUGGA